rnacentral:rRNA from 1 species
GGCACUUAAUGCGUUACUGCGGCACUGCAGGAGUGGUUACCCGCAACACCUAGUGCCCAUCGUUUACGGCGUGGACUACCAGGGUAUCUAAUCCUGUUCGCUCCCCACGCUUUCGCAUCUCAGCGUCAGUAUUGGUCCAGAAAGCCGCCUUCGCCACUGGUGUUCCUCCGAAUAUCUACGGAUUUCACUCCUACACUCGGAAUUCCACUUUCCUCUCCCAUACUCAAGACUGCCAGUAUCCAAUGCACUUCCGGGGUUGAGCCCCGGGCUUUCACAUCAGACUUAACAGUCCGCCUACAUGCUCUUUACGCCCAAUAAUUCCGAACAACGCUUGCACCCUCCGUAUUACCGCGGCUGCUGGCACGGAGUUAGCCGGUGCUUCCUUUGAGGGUACCGUCAGCGCCAUUGCUGGCAUUUCUUCCCCUCUGACAGAAGUUUACGACCCAAAGGCCUUCAUCCUUCACGCGGCGUUGCUGCGUCAGGGUUUCCCCCAUUGCGCAAAAUUCCCCACUGCUGCCUCCCGUAGAGUCUGGACCGUGUCUCAGUUCCAGUGUGGCUGAUCAUCCUCUCAGACCAGCUAUCCAUCGUGGUCUUGGUAGGCCGUUACCCCACCAACUAACUAAUGGACCGCGGACCCAUCCUAUGACGAUAAAUCUUUUCCACUCGCCCCGAAGUUGUGUGGGCUUAUCCGG